rnacentral:tRNA from 1 species
GUCCAGGUUAGCCUAGUUGAUAUGGCAUCUGCCCAGUAAGCGGAACAUUAUGGGUUCGAUUCCCAUCUUUGGACA